CUCAGCUUUUAGGAUAGCCAUCACUCAAAUUACCUAAAAUGCUAACCGGCCAGAAGGAAAGAGCAAGAGAAGAAAAGGAAGGAGGCAAAGAGUAAAAGAGGAGAAAGAAAAGAGUGACAAUGAAAAGCAAGUAAGAAAAGUGAAGAGAGGAAAGAGAAAGAUGGAAGAAGAGCGAGCUGGAUGGCAAAAGGGAGAGAGUGUGAGUAGUGACCCUGAAAAACAACAGUCUGUGAUGAGAUAUGGCCACAGUACGAAUGGUGUAUUUUAGAAACCUUCAGGAAAGAAAAACAGGUACUUUUCCCACAAAUGUAAUAAAGACUCCUCCUUAGCCCGGGUGUCCCACGCUCCUCCCUGAGUCCCAGCGCAGCAUCCCUUCCUUCCCAGAACCCACUUCACCAACAUAUGCUGUUAGUUUCUGCCACCUAAUAUGGGGAGUCCUAUGACGUAAUGGGUCUUUCAGGAUCGUGAUGGGAUCUUGCAAACCCAAAACAACACAUAGUGGGAGAAUUGCUCAAGUGAUUCCUG
rnacentral:lncRNA from 1 species